UCACUUUUAUCGAAGUCCAUCCUGAAGUAUACUAUAGAGGUGAACGCAAUUGUAGAGUUAAAAGUUCCUGAACUCUGAGUGAUCUGGGCUAACCUGUUUGCUGAUUGGCAUGCAUGGGAAGAAGUGGAGGACAUGUCCAUCUUUGAUGACAUAAAACAAGUUGCUCAUUUGCAUGGAAGAUGCCAAAUAAAGGGAGUAACUAUCCCCACCUGCACCUCCUAUUUCCUAGCGUUCAAUAAUUGAAGGCAUCGAUACAUUUAUCAGCGAGUCAUGGAAGGAUCCUCUACUGCAACAUGGAGAGCUUGCUCUUGUGCACAUGUUUUGCUCAAUUUGCCAAGGUUCUCAUUUGAAACUGAAGGAAUUAAACAUGAAUUAGCAAUUGCUUUAUAAAAAGCCACAUUUUAAUGUUCUCUUGACAUUCGAAGCAAGCCAGUGGCUUUGUGGAAGCCUCUUUUUCUGUUUAUUACAUCUUGAAUAUAUUUUGCCUCGAUUAUAUAAAUAAGGUUUUGGAGAAGGAUGAGGAUGAAGGUUUCACUAUAUGGGUGUGUUGAUUGGCAUGUAUUUCUGCUCGUUCGUUCCAGCCUGGUCUUUCCUCUGACUUUGAGCUAUGAGUUUGGUUGCUUUGCUUUAGUAUCAAAUGGGCCAUGAAUAUUCAUGUACGUAUCUUUACACACACACAUCUUAUUUCUGAUUGGUGAUUUUAGAAACCUAUAAUCCAAAAUUUUGGACAACCUUUUGCCCUUAUAUUAAUUAAAAUACAUGUCUUUUACUUUCUAUAAAACCAAUAGAGAGCACUGAAUAUAAUUGUGCAUGCUCCAAAUUAUCUCGAAAUGACACAAUGAGAUUCUCAUGUACUUAACUAAGGUGGCGUUGAAAGUGGCACACUUAGACCAAUUACUUUCCCAUUUGAUAUUCUAUCCUUUUGUUCAAGAACAAGAAGGGAGAGAGAGACUCUAGUUUUUGUAAAGAGAAAGAAGCUUGAGCGCAAUUUCACAUCUAGGAAGUAACCAAUAAAAUUAGUGCCAUCAUUAAAAUAACUUCAUGAGUGGAAAAACCUAUGCCAUCGAGAAUAGAGAAAGAAGAUUGGUCUCAUGGCAAACAUAGCAUUUUACAAGAUGAGAGAGACUUUAUAGAAAGGAAGGACUUGAAAGAAGCCAUACUCUAUGCCUCUAUUGCAAGAGAUCAUAUUACCGUAGUGUUUUUCAUAAAAAAAUGAAGUUCAUAUAUAUAUUGUUUUUGUUAAAAAAUCUGAUUUUUUUGAAGAUCUAUUGAAAAAACUAAGAGUUCUUAAAGGAUUUCAAAACUCAGAGAUUUCUUAAAAACUUGUGUUUUAAACGACGACUUGCUCGCUUGGGGAUUCAAGUUCUGGCAUUGUAGGUACGGGGUUAAGGAAAUUGGGGUUUUAAUUUUUUAUGACCAAAUAAUAUAGCAUCCUAGAGGAGGAGAUUGAAACUGAGGGUUUUAGAGAGAGAAACUGCGUGAGAGCCAAACAAAGAGUUAAAAAUUUGAGCUUAUUUAAGAAAAUUUAUUUUUUAUGAUAUCUAAAUAGUUUUCUAUAUUUUUAUUGAUAGCUUUUCUUAUGCUAAAUAUUAAUAUAUAUUUUUUUUCUAAUUUUUACCGAAUUUUUAAAAAUAUUUUUUUGGUUUUUAUAGGCAAAUUUGGGCUUAAAUGUAGUGGGGUUAGCUUUAAUCAGCUCGGUUCAGCCAACGAUGAUGAAUAUCGGCUCGGCUAAAUUCGGCUAAAAUCAGUUCGGCUUGGCUAGUUUUGGGUCAGCUUGGCUAUAUUAGGCUCAUCUCGGCUCAGCUCGGCUAGAUUCGGCUCGGCUCAGCUGACUUCACAUAAAUUUGUAAUAGAGCUGAGUUAAGCAGAAUAUUAUAAACCGAGCCGAGCCGAGUAGAUAUCAGUCGAGCCGAACCGAUAUCAGCCGAGCCGCGCCGACCAAGCCAGCCAGUUCGCCCACAACCUCCGUUUUUAUUUUAAAAAAAAAGGUGGGGUGGGGGGCAAAACCAAUUUCGUUCACCUUUUUUUCAACUCUAUGUCCCAGUGUAAAGUGGGAGAUUAGUUUGAGGGUUGGGAUUUUGUGAAACUUCUUGACUGCUUUAGGUUUUAUGUGUCUUGUAUGAGAAUAAAUAAAUGGAAUGGCGGCUGCUUCAAUUGUUGAGAGAAAGAGAAGUACAUUUGUACCAGUUAAAGAGAGAAAGAUUUGCAUUCUUUCAAAGAGAGAGAACAUAAAGAGAUUGUGGAAAAACACAGAAGAAGGAACAAGUGGAAAAGAAAAAGAUGCGGUAGUCCUCUUUCUAACUGAUCAUCAAUCAAUUAAGAGGAUAAGGGGUUUGCUUUGCUUUGCCUACAUAUCUGUGCAAAGUUUGAAUGUGCAUCUGUGUAACUCUGAUAUGCAAGAGAGAGUGGGAAAAUGCCUGGCCAGAAAAGAAAGGAGCAAAAAGGCAUAUGCUAGCAUCCUGACCUCCACCACUUCCUUGGGCUCACUCUUUAAUAAAGGUGUAUCUGAUGCGAGAGGAAUUUGAGUUGCUUGACUUCUUGUUUUCAUUUCUUUCAGUUUCUUAGCAAAGUUUUUGCUUUUAGAUAAAUACAACCGCAAGAACUAGAAUGAAAGAAAUCCAUCACAAAAUUACAUAAAUAGAGCACACAAUGCAGUAGACAACAAAAGUAACCCUUGACAAAACCAAACUGAAGUUUGGUAAUUUGGAUACAAUUUAUGAAGAAACUGUUGAUGCCCCAAGUAGUUUAGCUGGAAAUAUGCAGUAUAUCACAUUGCAAAUAGAGGGGCAAACCAGAGAUUACCACUUCCUGUGCAUUGGUUCCUGAGUCCUUUGGCAACUCUCGAUGCCGCUGAGAGUAUAGAUGUUGCCAGGAGUGGCCAUUUCUUUCUGUUGGGUGUUGAAGCUAUGUCUGCAUUAUGCUCUGAAAAUCCAAGUUCACCAAUUUUACAUGUUCCUUUGGUUUGGAAAUUACAUGCACUGUCCAUGGUUUUCCUCAAAAGAAAUGACAUUCUUGAAGAGACGCAAACCAGAGAUACUUUCAAAACUUCACAGGACAUGUAUGGGCAACGUCUGGACAAACUGAGACAAAGAAAACCUGAAGUCGUUCCUGAAAAUGAAAAAUCCUCUGGUGUAUAUAGCAGAGAAAUCCUUUACUUCGUAAAAGAGGUCCAUGAAAGUUAUGGCUCAUUUAUUGAGAUCCCCUUUGAGCAAUUCAGUGCUGUAUCCUAUUUGGCCAGCAAUUAGGUGUAUAUCUCUACCGUACGGUAGAAGUGCCAGUCAGACUUGCGGCAUAGAAAGCACUAUCCAAUGCCCAUAUUUUUGAACUUUUUCCGCCUAUAAAUGAUUGCAUUGCUGAGAUUGAAGGAUAUCUGAUCCCUUUUGAGGUACUGGAUUGGACUUCUAUUUGCUUCCAUGCCCCUUUACUUCAUACUGGCAUCCUUUGACAAAGCUCUGUCUCUGACUUAUGUUGUGCACUGUUUUUUAGUGAGAGAAAGAGAAGUACAUUUGUAAAUAGUUAGAGAGAUAAAGGUUUGUAUUCUUUCAGUGAGAGAGAGAGAGAACAUAAAGAGAUGGUAACAGAAAUACAAAUAGAAGAAGGAACAAGUGGAAAAGGAAAAGGUGCAGUGGUUCUCUCUCUCUCUAACUGAUCAUCAAUCAGGAGGAGUAAGGGGCAAAUGUGUUCAAAGUUUGAAUGUGCAUCUGUGUAACUCUAGAAAACGGCCUACUGUUUAAUUCUAGAGAAUCAUCGAUGCACUUCAAUUUUCAGUCUUUUCUGCUGCCUCCUGUACUUAUCGUCCUUACUCAUGUUGCNNNNNNNNNNNNNNNNNNNNCAAAGCUCUGUCUCUGACUUAUGUUGUGCACUGUUUUUUAGUGAGAGAAAGAGAAGUACAUUUGUAAAUAGUUAGAGAGAUAAAGGUUUGUAUUCUUUCAGUGAGAGAGAGAGAGAACAUAAAGAGAUGGUAACAGAAAUACAAAUAGAAGAAGGAACAAGUGGAAAAGGAAAAGGUGCAGUGGUUCUCUCUCUCUCUAACUGAUCAUCAAUCAGGAGGAUAAGGGGCAAAUGUGUUCAAAGUUUGAAUGUGCAUCUGUGUAACUCUGAAAAGGCCACUGUUUAAUUUCUAGAGAAUCAUCGAUGCACUUCAAUUUUCAGCUUUUCUGCUGCCUCCUGACUUAUGUCCUUACUCAUGUUGCUCGAUGUAGCCACCCUUCAGCUUACAGUUAUCUCCCAAAUAAGAAAAAUAAAAUUGAAAAUCUGUCUUUAGGUAUCUUUGUGGAGGCAGAGGGAGACCAGCUGGUCUUCGAGAUGAUGAUUUCUGGCUCAGAACAACUCUUGACCCAUGUCAUUCGCUUUAGUAUUUUUGUGUUCUUUGAUCCUUUUUAUAUAUAGAAAUUUUGUUAACUAUCAAAAAAGGUACAAAGUAUUUAGAUGCAGCACCUUAACGUGGUUGAAAGACUUGUAUUAUGCUAGCAUUAGUUCAAUUGUGCAUCUGAAUCAUGAGUUUGUUUUCCCCACAGCAUGUACAUGUUCUUGAAAUAUGUUUUAUAUAUAUAUAUAUAUAUAUAUAUAUAUUCAUCCAUGUGGUGGUGCUGGUAGGAUGGGUGGGUGUCUUACUUAAAUGUUAGAGUUAGAAGCAUUAGGAGCAGAAGAAGAUGUCGAUCGCCGAGUUAUUGCGCUGGAUAACCGAACCUCUCCACAUCAUGCAGCCAUUGAAAAGGCAGAGCUCAGGUAACCACCAUUGCCAUUUUCCUCUGGAUAUCUAUCCAUCAUUGGAUGCUCUUUUUUUUUUUUAAAAAAAAUAUCAAAGCAGUUGAGAAUUUGAUUGAGAAAAGAAGAGAAGCGAAUUAGACGAGUUGUUGCGCUGGAUAACUGAACCUCUCCACUUCAUGCAGCCAUUGAAAAGGCUCAAGCAGUGCUCAGGUAACCACCACCGCCAUUUUCUCUGGAUAUCUAUCCAUCUUUGGAUACUCUUCUUUUCUUUCUUUUAAUAUCAAAGCAAUACUAAGAUUGAGCUACUCGCAGGCUGGAAUUUGAUGCGAGAUAGGACAGGAGAACUGAACUAGAGUUUCUUGAGAAGGUAAGAACCUAUUUGUUGUUGUCUCACUUUACCAUUCGCCUUGAUACAUUUGAUGCGGUUGCAAUCCCAUUUACUAAAGAAGAAUUUCCAAUUCUGGAGUUGUAGGGAGGCAAUCCCCCUUUUUCCUAUUCCUCAAAAUCUUCUUCACCAGCCUUUAUGGACUCUAGCUUUGCGAAUGCAAUCAACCAAGCCCAAGGCAAUCCUCACGAGAUAAGUGAUGGGCUUCCUAUUCAACGGCCCACAUGAAGUCCUUGAAGCCUUUAUCAAUGCUGAUAGCGAAUCUAGAUGCAAAAAUAAGUCGAAGAAUGUCAAAGGUAAGGCUCCCGCCACCAAUUUAAGAGCAUCCCGAGAGCUAUCCAACUCUCUUUCAAAGUAAGGUACGAGAAAGGAGAACUCUCAGCUAAGGUCCUCCCCACUCCCUCGGCUCCUCAGCAUUCUCGCCGCUCAACCAUGAGUGUCAUUCACCCCUUAUCUUUGCUAUGAAGAUCUUUAUAUGGAAUAUAAGGGUUUGGACCACCCAGGAAAACGGAAAAAUAUUCAUCAAUUUGUUUCACAGUAUUCUUCCUCUCUUCUUGGUUUGGUGGAAACCAAGUUUCCUUCCCCCACUCUGCCAAAUUCGAAAUAUUUGGGGUUUUCCCCUACUAGUGGUUAGCUCUGAAUGCAAUCAGACCUUCUGGCGAUAUCUAGGUCCUCUGGGACCCAUCUCAACACGCCUUAGUUGCCUCUCACAUUGGCAACUUCUCUGUCAUAGUGACCCAAGCUAGGAUCACUGAUUUCCUCCAUUGGAAGUGCAUUGUGGUCUAUGGGCCACAAGAAGACAAUGAGAAAUUGGUCGUUUUGAGAGAGUUACAGUCUUUGAUGACCCUCCCUUUUUCUUGGUGGUGCGUAGGAGGUGAUUUUAAUAUCACCAGAUGGUCUCACGAAGCAAUUCCCACCGCAAAACUACCCCUUCAAUGGUACAGUUCUCUUAUUUCUUAGCUCGUAACAGUCUUCUAAACAUCCAGUUGGAAGGAACAGAGUUCAGUUGGUCUAGUCAUUAGGCUAAUCCAAGCCUCUCAAAAUUAGAUAGAUUUCUAACCCCUCUCAAGUGGGAUCAUGAGUUCCUUGGCACCUGCUCUCUGGUACUUCCCAAGCACUCCUAAAAUCAUAGACCUAUCCUGCUGGAUACCCAGUCCCUUCCUCGAGGGCCUAAGCCUUUUCGCUUUGAGCUUGGCUCAAAGAGCCCGGUUUCCCCUCUCCUGUCUGUAACCAUUGGGAGUCCUUCUCCCCCCUUGUGAAUGGGUAGGCCGGUUUUAUCUUGUAGAAAAAGCUUCAAAUGCUCGAAGUUUUCCUGAAAUCAUGGAGCUCACAGCUCCCUGGAAACUUAUGAUACCAAAAAGACUCCCUUUUGAGGUCUAUUCAACACUAAGCCUUCAUUGAAGAACUUAGACAUCUCUCCCCUUCUGAGAUGGAUUCUUGAUCCAUCCACAAACAUGAUUACCAAUGCCUCCUAAAGAAAGAAAAAAUUUAUUGGACUCAGCGGGUCAAAGUCAAAUGGCUCAUGCUUGGCAACCAAAAUACAACUUACUUCCACAAGAUAGCCAUUUGUGUAAGAAGGGAGAACUCUAUUACCCACUUCAAGGUGGGGGACCAGAUUGUUGACUAUCCCAAUCUCAUUGAGGCAGCGGCUGUUGAAUAUUUUUUCAAGCUUUUCUCUUCCCCUUAUGGUCCUAGUCCAGUAAUUGCAGACCUCUCCUUCUCUUUUAUUUCUCCAUUAUCUGCAGCCUCUUUGGAAAGCACUUUUUAAGAGGACAAAAUACUCCAAGCCAUUAAAGAUCCCAAUGGAGACCUGGCCCCCAGCCCUAACCGCUUCCCCAUAGCCCUCUUCGAAGUCUGUUGGGAUACCCUUAGGACUGAUAUCAUGGCUUUGUUUUUCGAAUUUCACUCUCAAGCCACUAUCCAUAAGGUGAUGAAUGUCACUUUCAUUGCCAAGAUCCCCAAGAAAGAGGGAGAAGGAGAGCUUAAAGACUUCAGACCCAUUAGUCUGAUUAAUACUUCCUACAAAAUUCUCUUGAGGGCCUGGCUUCCCGCCUCAAACGUGUCCUUAGUCAGAUGAUCUUAUCAUCCUAAGGGACCUUUGUGAAGGAACGCCAGAUUCUCUAACAGCACACGAAUGCAUACAUUCCCGCUGUAGUGCAAAAAUCCCAAGCUUGGUUCAAAAAUCUUAUGAUCAUGUGGACUCGGAAAUUCUUGAUGAGACUUUUUCCAAAAUACCAUUUGGUGGAGAUGGAUCCAAGGGUGUAUUUCAAAACCCUAAUUUUCGGACUUUAUUAAUGGCACAUCUAGGGGUUACUUUCAUGCUUCGAGAGGUCUCCGCCAAGGGGAUCCCCUUUCACCCUUACUAUUUACCAUAGUGGUUGAGGUGUUCAGUGCCUCACUAUCUCGUGGGUACAGUACAAGACGCAUUUCGGGUUUCCAAGUGGCUAGGUCGGGUCUCUCGAUAUUCCACCUCCAAUAUGUCGAUGAUACCCUCCUCUUUUGCGAUGCAUUGUUUAAAAAAGUUAGUUGUUUAUUGCUCUUCCUCCAAUGCUUCAAGUUGGCUAUGGGCCUUAGGGUGAACCUAGAAAAAACUAAGAUGACAAGAAUCUGCCUUGACAAAGUCAGAGUCAAAUGCUUCGCUGACUCAUGGGGAUGUGCUGUAGAGUUAAUGCCCUCAUCUUAUCUUAGCCUUCCAUUUUGCAUUGGCCUUCCUCGAAUAAGGGAGAGUCCUUUCACCAAGCUGCAGAGUGACCUUAUCAAGGCAACAAUUUCCAGCAUUUCUCUUUUCUUUAUUUCCCUUUUCUUUAUGCCAAUGGUCGGAGUCGCUAGACUGGAAAAACUCAUGAGGGCUCUAAGGGUGCUCAAUGCAUUGAAGGGGUAAGUGAAGGAAGUCAAGCCCCAAGCACGAGUGCUUAUGUAUGUGGAAGUGUCUAUUAAUAGAAAACCUACUAAGGCUAUGAUAGAAACCGGGGCUACACACAACUUUAUGGCAGAUCAAGAGGCACGUCGGUUGAACCUCAGGGAAGGUACUGGAUGGUCUCUCACUAAAAUCAAAUACUUGUGGGCAUCGUUCAGCCUCCUUUCAAGGGAAGGGAGGCCUGAACUUGCUGUGCUCCCUCCCUCACUUGCCCCUGACAACGAAGCGAGAAUUGAAUCAAUUACUUGUUUCAGUCAGCUUGCUCUCAAACUAGCCAUACACGAAACGACCUCAUAGACAUGAUGAAACUUGAUUCCUUGUUCACCUCCUCCCCACUCGCUUUCCUACUCCCUUGCUAGUUUCUUUUGUCUGGCUGGUACCCUUUCUCUUUAGGGGCAGACAACAUUACUGGUGCACCUAAUGCGAGAUCUUGGAACCCAAAUUUCAGGAGACUCUUAGUUGACCACAAGCUUCACCACUUUUUGAAUCUCUCGGUCUUUCUCGAAUCGAUAUUUUUUCUCCCACAUGCAAUGACAAGAUUGCCUGAUCCCCCUGUCCAUCAGGUUCAUUCAUAGUUGCUUCAUUUUAUUGAAGCUUAUACUCCUCGCCUUCUACUCCCCUCUCAGCCUUUCCCUCUAUUGCCACCAAGUCUUGGUGCUCCUUUUUGCUCCCAAAAUCCAGCUUUUUACUUGGAUGGCACUCCAUGAAAGGGCUUUGACACUCGAUCAACUAUAGCGAACGGGUAUGCCUUUGCCUAACAGAUUAACCAUGUGCCUCAAAGCUGAAGAAACCAAUCAACAUCUAUUUCUAAAUUGUGAGAUUGCCUUGGCCCUUUGGACUGACCUUCUUCUUCUAUUCAAGUGGUUGUGGGUCAUUCACCAAUAGAUCCCUCACCUCUUCUCCUUAUGCCUUAGAACUUCUUGGAAAAAUUCAGGAAACCUUCUAUGGAGAGCUUCCAUCUCAACCACUCUUUGAACCAUUUGGAUUGAGAGGAAUAAUAGUAUCUUUAGUGGGGAGAGAGCCUCUGCCUAAGCUCUUAUCAAAAAAAGAAGGUCACUUGUCACAUUCUGAGCCCUAACCCUCCCAAGCUUCUCCAUCUUCUCCUUUUCGGAUCUUCACCAAAAUUAGCAAGCAUUGCUGCACCUAAGUACCCACAGGAUUUCUCAAGCUUCUCCAUCUUCUCCUUUUCAGAUCUUUACCAAAAUUGGCAAGCAUUGCUGCACUUAAGUACCCACAGGAUUCCUCAAGAUUCUUUAUGGCUGCUCUUUAGGCAAUCAGAGCCCCUCAGGUAAUCGAUGCCUGUUUAGGGAUUAUGAAGGCCUGAUCCUCCUUUCUUAUGCCCUGCCUAUCAGAGUUGUGGAUUCCACAUUAGCUGAGGCCAAGUCUUUACUCAAAGGACUCAGAAGAUUUAAUCAUCUUUGGAGUAGAAAGGUGUAGGUAGAGGGUAUUCCAGCAACACUAUCGCUUGGGCUUCUUGCAAUGCCCCUUGCCCUUGGAGACUAGAUAACAUUUUUGUAGCAAUUGGCCACAUCUGUAGCAGUAUCCUAGUCUCUUGAAGACACACUCGUAGGAAUAGUAACGUUGCGGCAGAUGCGCUAGCAAGGGAGGGAGCUAGUCUCAACUAUCCCCAGGGGAAUUUGGACCCCCCUUAGCUCUCACCUCAUUUUUGGAUCUAUUGUCGAGAUUCUCGGACCCUCAAGGGCUCCUGUAUAGGGCCCCCAUUUUUGGGGAUUGCCUAAUUUUUGUUUGUAGUUCUCUAUACAAUCAAUACAAAAGUCAACUUUCUCAAGGAAAAAAAAGAAGGUUGGUUGACUAAUGGGAAACAUGUUGAUUUAUUGCAUUCGGGAUUUAUGCCUGGAGGAUUCAUCAGAAGCUUCAAAACUUUUUAAUACUAGAACUAUUUGGUUUCUGUUCACUUUGAAUUUGGUCGAAUUUGGUUAACUAUUCAUAUUUUUGCCUCUUCUUAUCAGUUUUUUAUUUCUUGUGGGUUUUGUUUGGUAGGGGGAGGGUAUGUGUGUUUGUGUGUGUGUGUGCAUGCAAGAGAGAGAGAGAGAGAGAGAGAGAUUUAUAGAUGAUAUGAAUUGCAUCUCAAGACAUGGAUAUUUUAGUUGACUUGGGAUUUGAUUUCUGCCCAUAAUCUGAUGGCAAACUGCCAAUAGAACAUUUGUGAGUAUGAAACUUUGGGAUUAGUCAUUAUUUGAACAAGGACCACAAAAGUAUAAAUAGCCAAUGAAUAUGGGAAGCGAGACUUUAUGUACUAUUUGUUUGCCUUUUGCUAGUUGCAUUAUAGAUAUUUGUUGUUUGUUUUGUUAAACAAGAUGGUUUCUCAGUUAUCUCUAUUGUUAAAUCAAUGUAAUUUUUUGUAGUUGGUAGAGCUAGGAUUUACUCUAGCAGCACUUGCUCAUGUUUGACACAUUACUAUGCCGGAUGAAAGGUACAGUAAGUUAUGCCAACAGUGGAGGUUUAGCUAUUCAAGCACUACAGGCAUAUUUUCAGCUUUGCUGCAGGAGGCUUGGUUGCUUGUUGUACAGGUAUUAUUUUAUAUUGUUAUUCUAUGUUGUUGGAUUUAGGCUGAAGGAAUAUCUAAAUAAAUAAUUAAAGCUCAGUUCAUGAAAUUGGGGAAUUCUCUGUGUAUUGUAGUCUCUGGUGGUAUUUGCCAUUAUAAGUAAUCUUGUAAUCAUUUCUCACCAUUUCCUCUUGUUCUUUCCAUCCUACUAUGUAUGUGAUUAAAGAACCUUUUCAUUAUACAUUCUCUUAAAUUUAUAUUUUUUUUCAGCACUUUUAUCCCCUUAUUCCCCUCUCCUUAACCCUAGCAGCUAGGCAAACCAUAUCCAUAUUUAUGAUAUUACAUUGUAAUUGUGCAAGCCCCUCUCUCUCUCUCCCCCUUACACAAGGAAACCCACUUGCACAUGCACAUUUGCACAAACAAAAUGAAAAAUAACUGUUGCUACCCAUGAAAUAAGUAUUAAGCACAUUUACAUGUAGAACAUUUGCUUCUGGGUUUUUUACUUAAGCAUAUAUAAAACAAUGAAAAAAUAUACAAAGAGACCAUUUACUUUUUUUACAAGUAGGUCAUAAUCAUUCAUAUCCCUUGAUCUCAAAUUGACUGGUUGUAGGAGUGUCAUUAAAUAUACUCAAGUUUAAAAAAAAAUUCUAGGACUUUGUGACUCAUCCUAAGCUAUCAAAUUUGACAUCCAAUGAGUAGGAAUCAUUGUGACCCCCUUUUACAAAAAGUAAAUGAUCUAUUUGUAUACAAUGCCAAGAACAAUUUCUCCUUGCGUGAUCAACAAGGUCUGUUGAUAUCAAUUGACAGUUUGACUUGGGCAUAUGCGUCUCCUAUUUUUUCUAAAUCUGCAUGGGAAUUUUCAAUUUUUGAAUACUCGUUACUCUUAUGGUUGAGUGAUCAAUUUAUAUGAUUAUAUUACCUAAUUUUGAGUUCUUUUUUUUUUUUGCAUGUACCCCUGGCAAAAUAACUAAUGCAUGCUUUGGAAUUUCAUGCCCAUCAUCAUGCAUGGAGGACAUAUCACUUUUAUUGAAGUCCAUCCUGAAGUAUACUAUAGAGGUGAAUGCAAUUGUAGAGUUAAAAUUUCUUGAACUCUGAGUGAUCUUGGCUGACCUGAUUGCUGAUUGGCAUGCAUGGUAAGAAGUGGAGGACAUAUCUAUCUUUGAUGCCAUAAAACAAGCUGUUCAUUUGCAUAGAAGAUGUGGAAUAAAGGAAGUUGCUAGCCCCAC
rnacentral:lncRNA from 1 species